rnacentral:rRNA from 1 species
GACGAACGCUGGCGGCGUGCUUAACACAUGCAAGUCGAACGGAAAGGCCCUGCUUUUGUGGGGUGCUCGAGUGGCGAACGGGUGAGUAACACGUGAGUAACCUGCCCUUGACUUUGGGAUAACUUCAGGAAACUGGGGCUAAUACCGGAUAGGAGCUCCUGCUGCAUGGUGGGGGUUGGAAAGUUUCGGCGGUUGGGGAUGGACUCGCGGCUUAUCAGCUUGUUGGUGGGGUAGUGGCUUACCAAGGCUUUGACGGGUAGCCGGCCUGAGAGGGUGACCGGCCACAUUGGGACUGAGGUACGGCCCAGACUCCUACGGGCGGCAGCAGUGGGGAAUAUUGCACAGUGGGCGGAAGCCUGAUGCAGCAACGCCGCGUGCGGGAUGACGGCCUUCGGGUUGUAAACCGCUUUCGCCUGUGACGAAGCGUGAGUGACGGUAAUGGGUAAAGAAGCACCGGCUAACUACGUG